rnacentral:rRNA from 1 species
UACGUAUGGUGCAAGCGUUAUCCGGAUUUACUGGGUGUAAAGGGAGCGUAGGCGGCGCGUUAAGUCUGAUGUGAAAACCCGAGGCUCAACCACGGGAGUGCAUUGGAAACUGGCGGGCUGGAGUGCCGGAGAGGUAAGCGGAAUUCCUAGUGUAGCGGUGAAAUGCGUAGAUAUUAGGAGGAACACCAGUGGCGAAGGCGGCUUACUGGACGGCAACUGACACUGAGGCUCGAAAGCGUGGGGAGCAAACAGG